rnacentral:rRNA from 1 species
UACGGAGGGUGCAAGCGUUAUCCGGAUUCACUGGGUUUAAAGGGUGCGUAGGCGGCUUUAUAAGUCAUUGGUGAAAGCUCGCAGCUUAACUGCGAAACUGCCAUUGAAACUGUAAAGCUUGAAUGUGGUUGAAGUGGGCGGAAUACAACAUGUAGCGGUGAAAUGCUUAGAUAUGUUUUAGAACACCGAUUGCGAAGGCAGCUCACUAAGCCAAUAUUGACGCUGAGGCACGAAAGCGUGGGUAGCAAACAG